rnacentral:rRNA from 1 species
GUAGUGGGGUAUUCAGUUAUUCUACUACUCCUUUGGUCGUUUACUGUGAGAAAAUUAGAGUGUUCAAAGCGGGCGUUUGUUUGAAUAGAUUAGCAUGGAAUAAUGAUUGAAGGCUUUCGUGUUCGAUUUGAUUGGUUUGUUCAUGGAAGCAAGGUUAAAAGGAACAGUUGGGGGUAUUCAUAUUCACUAGUUAGAGGUGAAAUUCUCGGAUUUAUGGAAGAUGAACAGGUGCGAAAGCAUUUACCAAGGAUGUUUU